rfam:Fusarium solani mitochondrion, complete genome.
GUAGAUGUAGUUCAAUGGUAGAACGAUUAAUUGUGGUUUAAUAGGCUCUAGGUUCGAUUCCUAGUAUUUACC